rnacentral:rRNA from 1 species
GACGAACGCUGGCGGCGUGCUUAACACAUGCAAGUCGAACGGUAAGGCCCUUCUUGGUACACGAGUGGCGAACGGAUGAGUAACACGCGGGUAAUCUGCCCUCCACAUCCGGAUAAGCCUGGGUAACUGAGUCUAAUACCUACUAGGACCACAGGACCCAUAUCCUGUGGUGGAGAGCUUUUGCGUUGUGUGAUGGGUCAGCGGACUACCAGCCUGUUGGUGUGGUGAUGGCUGACCAAGGCGACGACGGGUAGCCGGCCUGGGAGGGUGUCCGGCCACACUGGGACUGAGAUACGGCCCAGACUGCUACGGGAGGCAGGAGUGGGGGAUAUUGCGCAAUUGGCGCAAGGCUGAUGCAGCGACGCCACGUGGGGGAUGACGGCCUUCGGGUUGUACACCUCUUUCACCACCGACGGAGGUCCGGGUGUUCUCGGGGUGACGGUAGGUGGAGAAGAAGCACCGGCUAACUACGUG